rnacentral:rRNA from 1 species
CCUACGGACGGCAGCAGUGGGGAAUAUUGCACAAUGGGGGAAACCCUGAUCCAGCGACGCCGCGUGAGCGAUGAAGUAUUUCGGUAUGUAAAGCUCUAUCAGCAGGGAAGAAGAUGACGGUACCUGACUAAGAAGCCCCGGCUAACUACGUGCCAGCAGCCUCGGUAAUAUGGAGGGGGCAAGCGUUAUCCGGAUUUACUGGGUGUAAUGGGAGCGUAGACGGGGGUGCAAGCCGGGUGUGGAAGCCCGGGGCUCAACCCCGGGACUGCAUUUGGAACUGUGUGGCUGGAGUGUCGGAGAGGCAGGCGGAAUUCCUAGUGUAGCGGUGAAAUGCGUAGAUAUUAGGAGGAACACCAGUGGCGAAGGCGGCCUGCUGGACGAUGACUGACGUUGAGGCUCGAAAGCGUGGGGAGCAAACAGGAUUAGAUACCCGGGUAGUC